GGAUGUGAGGGCAAUCUGAUUGUGACAUCAUUAACCACACUCACAUCCUGGCUUGAUCUGGAUGUUUAGGGAAAUGUUCCAUUCCUCUCUCACUGUUUCAUGGACAUUCCUUAUGAUAAAAUGCACUCAGUGGAAGAGGACCACAAAGAGGACCGUCCCAAAACUGAACAGCCCUCCAUCUUCAUUAAGGGUACAUGAGACAUAGUGAUCCCCAAACAAGCUGUCAAUAAAUAGAUUUGUAAGACACUUGAUAUGUUGUAGACUUUUAGCAAGGAUCAGUAUAUUUCUAGCUCAGAUUUAAUUAUUCAGAGUCCUCUGUGUAU
rnacentral:snRNA from 1 species